rnacentral:rRNA from 1 species
CCUACGGGAGGCAGCAGUGAGGAAUAUUGGUCAAUGGGCGCGAGCCUGAACCAGCCAAGUCGCGUGAGGGAAGACGGUCCUAUGGAUUGUAAACCUCUUUUGUCGGGGAGCAAAAGACGCCACGUGUGGCGUUCCGAGAGUACCCGAAGAAAAAGCAUCGGCUAACUCCGUGCCAGCAGCCGCGGUAAUACGGAGGAUGUGAGCGUUAUCCGGAUUUAUUGGGUUUAAAGGGUGCGCAGGCGGAAUAUCAAGUCAGCGGUAAAAUUGAGGGGCUCAACCUCUUCGAGCCGUUGAAACUGGUUGUCUUGAGUGGGCGAGAGGUAUGCGGAAUGCGUGGUGUAGCGGUGAAAUGCAUAGAUAUCACGCAGAACUCCGAUUGCGAAGGCAGCAUACCGGCGCUCAACUGACGCUCAUGCACGAAAGUGUGGGUAUCGAACAGGAUUAGAUACCCGGGUAGUC